rnacentral:rRNA from 1 species
GAUGAACGCUGGCGGCGUGCCUAAUACAUGCAAGUCGAGCGAACGGACGAGAAGCUUUCUUCUCUGAUGUUAGCGGCGGACGGGUGAGUAACACGUGGAUAACCUACCUAUAAGACUGGGAUAACUUCGGGAAACCGGAGCUAAUACCGGAUAAUAUUUUGAACCUCAUGGUUCAAAAGUGAAAGACGGUCUUGCUGUCACUUAUAGAUGGAUCCGCGCUGCAUUAGCUAGUUGGUAAGGUAACGGCUUACCAAGGCAACGAUGCAUAGCCGGCCUGAGAGGGUGGUCGGCCACAAUGCAACUGAGACAAGGCCCAGAAUCCUACGGGAGGCAGCAGUAGGGAAUAUUACGCAAUGGGCGAAAGCAUGACGGAGCAACGACGCGUGAGUGAUGAAGGUCUUCGGCUCGUAAAACUCUGUUAUUAGGGAAGAACAUAUGUGUAAGUAACUGUGCACAUCUUGACGGUACCUAAUCAGAAAGCCACGGCUAACUACGUG